CACGUCUAAGCAGUAAGGCUGAGUAUUAGGCAAAUCCGGUACUCGUUAAGGCUGAGCUGUGAUGGGGAGAAGACAUUGAGUCUUCGAGUCGUUGAUUUCACACUGCCGAGAAAAGCCUCUAGAUAGAAAAUAGGUGCCCGUACCGCAAACCGACACAGGUAGUCAAGAUGAGAAUUCUAAGGUGAGCGAGCGAACUCUCGUUAAGGAACUCGGCAAAAUGACCCCGUAACUUCGGGAGAAGGGGUGCUCUUUAGGGUUAACGCCCAGAAGAGCCGCAGUGAAUAGGCCCAAGCGACUGUUUAUCAAAAACACAGGUCUCUGCUAAACCGUAAGGUGAUGUAUAGGGGCUGACGCCUGCCCGGUGCUGGAAGGUUAAGAGGAGUGGUUAGCUUCUGCGAAGCUACGAAUCGAAGCCCCAGUAAACGGCGGCCGUAACUAUAACGGUCCUAAGGUAGCGAAAUUCCUUGUCGGGUAAGUUCCGACCCGCACGAAAGGCGUAACGAUUUGGGCACUGUCUCAACGAGAGACUCGGUGAAAUCAUAGUACCUGUGAAGAUGCAGGUUACCCGCGACAGGACGGAAAGACCCCGUGGAGCUUUACUGUAGCCUGAUAUUGAAAUUCGGCACAGCUUGUACAGGAUAGGUAGGAGCCUUUGAAACGUGAGCGCUAGCUUACGUGGAGGCGCUGGUGGGAUACUACCCUAGCUGUGUUGGCUUUCUAACCCGCACCACUUAUCGUGGUGGGAGACAGUGUCAGGCGGGCAGUUUGACUGGGGCGGUCGCCUCCUAAAAGGUAACGGAGGCGCUCAAAGGUUCCCUCAGAAUGGUUGGAAAUCAUUCAUAGAGUGUAAAGGCAUAAGGGAGCUUGACUGCGAGACCUACAAGUCGAGCAGGGUCGAAAGACGGACUUAGUGAUCCGGUGGUUCCGCAUGGAAGGGCCAUCGCUCAACGGAUAAAAGCUACCCCGGGGAUAACAGGCUUAUCUCCCCCAAGAGUUCACAUCGACGGGGAGGUUUGGCACCUCGAUGUCGGCUCAUCGCAUCCUGGGGCUGUAGUCGGUCCCAAGGGUUGGGCUGUUCGCCCAUUAAAGCGGUACGCGAGCUGGGUUCAGAACGUCGUGAGACAGUUCGGUCCCUAUCCGUCGUGGGCGUAGGAAAUUUGAGAGGAGCUGUCCUUAGUACGAGAGGACCGGGAUGGACAUACCUCUGGUGUACCAGUUGUCGUGCCAACGGCAUAGCUGGGUAGCUAUGUGUGGACGGGAUAAGUGAUGAAAGCAUCUAAGCAUGAAGCCCCCCUCAAGAUGAGAUUUCCCAACUUCGGUUAUAAGAUCCCUCAAAGAUGAUGAGGUUAAUAGGUUCGAGGUGGAAGCAUGGUGACAUGUGGAGCUGACGAAUACUAAUCGAUCGAAGACUUAAUCAA
rnacentral:rRNA from 1 species